rfam:Ixodes scapularis strain Wikel colony gcontig_1107728559792, whole genome shotgun sequence.
UCCUGGUUAGCUCUGUUGGUAGAGCGCCCUGCUGGAAAUGGAGAAAUCCCUGGUUCGAUACCCGGACCAGGCG